rnacentral:rRNA from 1 species
CACUCCUACGGGGGGCAGCAGUGGGGAAUAUUGUCACAAUGGGCGCAAGCCUGAUGCAGCCAUGCCGCGUGUAUGAAGAAGGCCUUCGGGUUGUAAAGUACUUUCAGCAGUGAGGAAGGUGGGUAUGUUAAUAGCAUAUUCAUUUGACGUUAGCUGCAGAAGAAGCACCGGCUAACUCCGUGCCAGCAGCCGCGGUAAUACGGAGGGUGCGAGCGUUAAUCGGAAUUACUGGGCGUAAAGCGCAUGCAGGUGGUUUGUUAAGUCAGAUGUGAAAGCCCGGGGCUCAACCUCGGAAUUGCAUUUGAAACUGGCAAACUAGAGUACUGUAGAGGGGGUAGAAUUUCAGGUGUAGCGGUGAAAUGCGUAGAGAUCUGAAGGAAUACCGGUGGCGAAGGCGGCCCCCUGGACAGAUACUGACACUCAGAUGCGAAAGCGUGGGGAGCAAACAGGAUUAGAUACCCUGGUAG